AAAAAUAUACCAGGAUAACCUGGCUUCUCUCAAGACUCCCCUGCUAGUUCACUGUUAAUGAUAUGCUAAAACCCGCCGGCACGUUGACGUGAUUGGUUACAAGGUAGUUUGUGACGUCACAGACACCAGAGAUUUCAAUCUGCAGUUUUAUGGAGAAAAUACUUGACAUGUUGACAUACGAAUUUGCACAUGGUUUGUCUUAAAGCAUAUUAAAAACACCACAUAGACAUAUAAACAACAUUAAAAACUAGAUUUUUACCACAGGGGGUCUUUAAUAAGAAGAUCAUAGGAAUAGGAACUUUAAUAGGAAUAAGGAAAAAUGGGAAUAGGAAUAAUAUUUUUAUUUAUUAUUUUAUUAUUCUAAAUGUGGCACAUCUGUCAUAUAAACAUUAGUAAAAAAAAGUACGGACACCCAGCCAGCGAUUAAAAAUCCUUCAUGUACAUUGGCUUCGUUUGAUGUGAUACUUGUAUCUAUAGUUAGAACAUCCCUGCAACUGUUCUGAUUUGACAUCAUGCCACCUGACUAGCAGCUAUCACAGAUUCCAGACUCCAAAACCCAAAUCGGGAAGACCAACUCGAAUGAUUCUGAUGAGUGGCCACCAAAUUAGUUGUAAGAAACUACAUUUAGAACAUCUAUGUUAAGUCCAAUAAUGUUAUGAGAAAGUAUAAAGUAAGUCUAUAAACAGGGAGUAAGUCUUUAAACCAGAAGAAGAUAAUUUUAGAGUUUAGAGGUGUCAGAACUCAAAGUUACAUGAGGUUGUUAGCUCUGCAUUGUAAAAACUCCACAGGCGCUAUAAUAAGUCAAAGUACAUGCAUAGUUCAUUACACCCAACAGAGUGAAAAGUUUUUGUCCUGUAGAAAACAUACAAGUGUCUGUUCAAGGUACGCAAGGUGGUGAGAGACUUUGGCGCAAUACAAAGUGCUCUGGCCUCUUCUGAUAUUUGAGUGCUGCCUCCAAGUUGUCCAAGGUAAUAAAUCCUUUGAGCUGUGUGUGUCUGUGUGUGUGUGCUGUUCCCAUGUAUUUAACCUUGGCUUCCGCCAAAAGCAAGUUCUCCUGGGAACUUUGGGAAGAAUCCUCAUUCCUGUUGACACCUUACUGUUAUGAAAUGACUUUUGAAAUGAUUUCAUCUUGAUGAAGGUGUAUAGUUUUAUUUCAGAUUGAUAGUCAAAUACCAGAAUGAAUUGUUGAAACGAGUUUAUUUUAAGCUUUAUGACUUUGAUUAACUGAAUAGUUCUGAAAUUACAAAAAAUAACAAAUAGAACUUUUACGGAUAUUCAGCGGUGGUGCAAAUGGUUGAUGUUUUUGCUCUAUAAUUCCCUGUAAAACAAAGCCAUUAAAGAAAUAAUUUAUGGUG